ACUGAAGGGUAAGUGUGUUGAAGCUUCCCUUGUGAAGGAGUUAAAGUCACAGGAAGGUGGAAGUACAGAAGCUGGCAGGGAGUUCCAGAGUUAACCAGAGAAAGGAGUGAAUGACUGACAAUACUGGUUAACUCUUGCAACAGAGAGGUGGACAGAUCAGUGGUGAGAGAAAGGAGGUGUUGUGUAGCGAGGCCGCUGGAGAGGAGAGGCAUGCACGUGAGGCACACUCCAUACAUGGGCGAGUAUGGCCCCUGUACAGAGUUAGCAAGCUCUAAGGCCACGGAGACGAGGAGUGCCUGUGUUGUCACCACUGCCUCUAUCAAAGAUACGUGACUCAUUUCCCAUGCAUACUCUCUCUCUCUCUCUCUCUCUCUCUCUCUCUCUCUCUCUCUCUCUCUCUCUCUCUCUCUCUCUCUCUCUCUCUCUCUCUCUCUCUCCUUCCUCUCGCUUUCUCCAUCUCUCUCUCCCGCUGCUUCCUUAGUUUAGUGUUGCCUGUGUUGUGCCCGAAAGUAGUGUUGUAGAUUUUAUUGCGCUGUGCCCGUAAUCAUUCAGUGACCGCCCUGUGCGUGUGUUGCCGCGUCAGGAAAGGAGUGUUGCGUCUCCAGGAGGGUCUUCCCCUUCCGAGUGGCGUCCGCGCUUGCUUCCUUCGUCAGGUGAUCUUGCAACCUCAGGAAAAACAACAUGCAGCAAGUGAGUUGGAAUGGCUAGAACCAGAGGAUGGGGGUGUGCGUCCAGGGAGUUGAGGAGUGCCACUGCUUCAACUGAUGCUGUGGGGCCUUGAGGCAGAGGGUCCACCAGGUGUGUGUGUGUGUGUGUGUGUGUGUGUGUGUGUGUGAGAAUGUUUCCCUACUUGUGGUGAAUGGUAAGGAAAAAGAGUGUGUGGUGGUGUGUGGUGUGGCCUUGCUUGUGGCAGAUGCAUUGGGGAGUGUGUGGUGGUGUGUGGUGUGGCCUUGCUUGUGGCAGAUGCAUUGGGGAGUGUGUGGUGGUGUGUGGUGUGACCUUGCUUGUGGAAGAUGCAUUGGGGAGUGUGUGGUGGUGUGUGGUGUGGCCUUGCUUGUGGCAGAUGCAUUGGGGAGUGUGUGGUGGUGUGUGGUGCAUGACCCUCACUUCUGGUUGAUGCCCUGCAGAGGAAAUAUCAUCAGCAUAGUAUUUAUUGCUGUGUGUGUGUGUGUGUGUGUGUGUGUGUGUGUGUGUGUGUGUGUGUGCGUGUGUGCUUGCGUGAGUGCGUGUGCGUGCUUGGGCGUGAAAGUGUGUGUGCGUGGGCGUGACAGUGCAUGUGCGUGCGUGGGCGUGAGAGUGUAUGUGCGUGCGUGGGCGUGAAAGUGCGUGGGUGUGAGACUGCGUGUGUGUGAGAGUGCGUGAGUGCGUGUGCGUGCGUGGGCGUGAGAGUGCGUGGGCGUGCGUGUGCGUGAGGGUGCGUGUGCGUGUGCGUGAAAGUGCGUGGGCGUAGGUGGGCGUGAGAAUGUGCGUGCGUGGGCGUGAGAGUGCGAGGGCGUGCGUGGGCGUGAGAGCGCGUGUGUGUGAGAGUGCGUGGGCGUAUUGUUGAAUUAGU